rnacentral:rRNA from 1 species
UACAUAGGGAGCAAGCGUUGUCCGGAAUCAUUGGGCGUAAAAGAGCUCGUAGGCGGUUUGUCGCGUCGGCUGUGAAAACUCGGGGCUCAACCCCGAGCCUGCAGUCGAUACGGGCAAACUAGAGUGUGGUAGGGGAGACUGGAAUUCCUGGUGUAGCGGUGAAAUGCGCAGAUAUCAGGAGGAACACCGGCGGCGAAGGCGGCUCUCUGGACCGAGACUGACGCUGAGGCGCGAAAGCUAGGGGAGCAAACAGG